CGCUGGCGGCGUGCUUAACACAUGCAAGUCGAACGAGAGGACAAGAGGAGCUUGCUUCUUUGGAAUCGAGUGGCAAACGGGUGAGUAACACGUAAACAACCUGCCUUCAGGAUGGGGACAACAGACGGAAACGACUGCUAAUACCGAAUACGCUUGGGAGACCGCAUGAUCUACCAAGGAAAGGGUGGCCUCUACCUGUAAGCUAUCGCCUGAAGAGGGGUUUGCGUCUGAUUAGGCAGUUGGUGAGGUAACGGCCCACCAAACCUACGAUCAGUAGCCGGUCUGAGAGGAUGAACGGCCACACUGGAACUGAGACACGGUCCAGACUCCUACGGGAGGCAGCAGUGGGGAAUCUUCCGCAAUGGGCGAAAGCCUGACGGAGCAACGCCGCGUGAGUGAUGACGGCCUUCGGGUUGUAAAGCUCUGUGAUCGGGGACGAACGGUCCGUAAGCUAAUACCUUAUGGAAGUGACGGUACCCGAAUAGCAAGCCACGGCUAACUACGUG
rnacentral:rRNA from 1 species